rnacentral:lncRNA from 10 species
GGGGCUCGGGCUGUCUUUCCCGCGUUGGGACACAGGUCCUGCAAGCUGUGGUAACGGCCAGACAUGGCGCAAGACUAGGUGGCCCCCUGGAAAAAACACGACCCCCCUAUAUAUUCUGACCUCAAAGGAUAGCCUUGGGCACUCCUAAAAUCCCCUUUGAGAAAGGGGGGCUUUAGGGGCUACGGGGACCACUCUCCUUGUGCAGCUGCGCGGUCCUGAGCGAGUGGCGCGAAAAUGCACAGGAAGCCGACUUGUUUACUUGUGGUUUUCAAAGUAGAAGAAAAGCCGCAGCAGCUUGAUGAAGACGUCUAUAGUAUAGUUAACCUUUAACGAUUAUCUGUUGGGGAUUGAAACUAAAGAUUGAACAAUUGUGGCUUGAUGAUCUUCUCUGUCUUCAGAAUUGAGAACUACCCUGAGUCAGUGCGAACGAGAAAACUUUUCAUUGCCCUUUUAACCAAACUUGGCAUUACAACGAAAAAAUGAAAUAAAGCGAGGCUUUUUGUGUGCGUGAAGAGCAAAACUUGCUUCUACAAGAAAAAGUAAAUUUAGUUUCUUUAGAAGACACUAAUUAUACUCUUAACAUUUAAAACAAGCGCUUGAAAUGAAAACAUUCGCAUUUCCCCCUCAUUUCAAAACUUUUCUCUGGGGAAUAAUUAAUUCCUUUGCAGUAAGAGAGUGCAUGGACAUACUGUGUUCCUCUCUUGGUGUACUGAAUACAAAAACUGUGAGCAAGUAAAUAAUGCCCGAGGACAAUGGAUUGGAAGGAGUCUUCCAGCCUUUCUUAAAUAUACCUACCCAGUAAUCACUCUGCCACUGUGCAAGGGACAAAGAGCUCAAGGUCUAGAAGGGACCAAGAGGAGGCCCAGGAAAAGGAGAGGAAACACAAGAAAAAGGCAGAGAGAGGGAUACCUUGAAAUGGAAUGCAGGCCUGGGACUCCAUAAGCCUGCUGUUCCAGCCAGCCUGUUUCAGAAUUGUCUUUCCUGACGCCUAGCUUUUGGAUGCUACAGAGGGCCCCUGAAGCAUCCAGAAGAGAGGACACAAUUGCAGAAACUAGUUGUUUUACUAAGGCUUUGACUGGAAGGAUAUGCUUCCCUUUGAGGAAUCAAGCUUGGCGUACAGAGCCAAUAAAAGCCCCUUGGGGAAACUGGCUUCAUACCUUGUCUAUACAGUCCCUGUACAGGGUUCCUAACCUGUGGCUAUCAAGCUCCAAAUGGUAAUGCAAAUGAAAUCACACAUGGACACGCCUUUCUUCCAAGGACUCUCAGACCAGCCCUAGGAGGAAUCGUAGCUGCUGUUCCCCACACAAAGCUACUCUGUAGCAGCAAGUAGCCGCAAGGCUCAUCGCCCCAUCUCCCUAACAGCACUUAGGGUCUCCACUCCUGAGGCGGGGGGGGGGGAAAUGAAAGAGUAGAAAGGAAGAAACUGAUUAGGCAGGCAGUUAGCUGGGUCCUCAGUUGAAUUAUUUCAAACAGAAGAACAACCUGCAAGCACAGAUAAGGGAACCUGCAUAGGAGGGCUUGCCUAAGAUAUGCCCACAGCCACACAGAUAAGAAAGCCUACACAGGUGACUUGCCUGGACACGCCUGCAAUGGAAAAUUCUGUCCCCUGACACAUGCACGGUAAGGGGAACAAAGCAAUAUGGAGUGACUCAAGCUAAGGACCUACAUGCGCACUAGGAGGAUAGGGUGGAGCUAGCAGAAGUUUGUGCCUUAUGCAAAUGAGAUGCCAAGGCCUCAUCAGUUUCUUAUAAAAGCCUUUACAUUCAACUGUUAAAAUGGCUAUCCUCUUCUGGACCCCCCUCCAUGGCAGAGAGCUUUCUUUUUUUGCUUAUUAAACGUUCACUCCAACCUCAUCCUUUGUGACCACGCUUCUUAAAUUUCUUGGUCAUG